rnacentral:rRNA from 1 species
AUGUCGAGCCUGAUAGAUAUUUGGACGGUGGAGGUGGACAGGAUCCGGGCCAUGAGGAGAACGGGGGGGCCGUUCAGACCCACGGCUUCUCCCGGCGCACAAGAAGCCGGCCACGUAGCUCGGCCGUCCGGGUCCGGCGACGGAAAUGGAACGCCAACACCUGAUGGUGCCACGGCUUGGCCGGCCAGGGAUCAGGCUGCCGGCGCUGGCUCGCCGUCGUCGCCGGUGCUCGUCCGGGAGGACGCCUUCUUGUCCAUCCUGGUCGAUUGCUUCGGUCAGUAG